rnacentral:lncRNA from 1 species
UCGUUGGGCCCCUCAAUAGGCGUUGGCGUUGGCGUUGGCGAGACACUAUCUUGUCCCGACAAGGCGGCAGGCCGCUCUGGCGUCGUGGGCAGCUAGUCUAGCACCUCGCUCAAAGCGGCAUGUCAAAUUCUGAGCCCAAGUCUUUCAGCAAACUUGCUACUAGCUUCAUUUGAUGGACUUGUGACAAUGAUGUCAUCAACAUAUAUAAAACAAAUAUAGACGUACCUGACUUAUUGUAAAUAAACAGUGAGGUUAGAGGGAAUAAAACCAAGUGCUUGAAGAUUCAGACUUAAAUGAGAGUACCAUGCUCUAGGGGCUUGCUUCAGACCAUACAUGGCUUUAUCAAGCUUGCAGAUGUGGAUAGGUGCAUUCUUGUUCUCAAAUCCAGGUGGUUGCUUCAUGUAAACUUCCUCUUCCAGAACACCAUGAAGAAACACGUUCUGCACAUGUAGCUGCCUAAGAUGCCAUCCUCUAGAUACAAUAAUGGACAAAACAAGGCGAAUAUCCUCAUAAUCCAUACCAUAUCUCUAUUUGAAACCCUUUGCAACAAGCCUAGCCCUUUAACGAUCGAUAGUACCAUCAGACUUGCGAUGAAUUCUCUACACCCACUUGCAAUCUAUCAAGUUUUUACCUUGUUGUGGAGGGACCAAGUGCCAUGUUUCAUUUUUCUGAAGUGCCAAAUACUCUUCCUCCAUAGCUUUCCUCCACCGUGUAUCGCCAAGAGCUUGCUCCAGAUUAUUCGGUUCACCUGAAGUACAUGCCAAACCAAAUUUUGUAAUAUGCUUAUAAUUAACAGGCUGCAUUACCCCUCGUUGAAGACGUGUACGGGCUUGUUUAGGAGAUGCUAUAGAGUUGCUUGGCACAGGGCAUCUGCUCAUGUGCAUGGAAGAUCCGGUACCACUAGCUGCAGCCUGCAUGGGAUCUUCUGCAUGGGAUCUUCUGCGGUUGGACAUGUGCUUGCAGACAGUGGAGUUGAUGUAGAAGAUCCUGGUACAGCAUUAUGCGACAAUGAUUGUGUUAGGAAAGCAACUUAUCUGUAUUGAAGGCCCAAGGGGCAUAUAUAUAUUACACAUGACUUGAGGUGCAAUGAAAGUAAACAUAGACUAAUAAGGACUCCUAGACUAAUACUAAUAGACUAAUAAAGACUCCUAGACUAAUACUAAUACUUCCUAACACCCCCUUCAAAUGCAAAGCGUAUGCAAUAGCAUUGCAUUUGAAGAAGUGUAAUACUAAAAAACAAUGAUAAUCCAAAUCCGCGUCUUGAGAGUGUCGUCGUAGCAUGAAGAGUCUUCAAAACUUGUCGAGUCGCCGAAGGAGAGAACGAAGAGAUGGCACAUCAGAGGUAGACACCACAUCACUUGAAGAUACAAGAUAAGUAUCAAGAGAAGAUGGGUUGUCAAAAGAAGAUAGCACAUCAAGAGAAUAAAACAUUGUGCAGAAAAUCAUAGUCCAUGACAAACGACGGAGAAAGAAGCUCGGCGGUUAAGGCACGAUGAACAUGGAUUGACAAUGCAAAGGAAGUCCAGAAAAUCCUAUAGAAAACAACAAGAGCAAAUAGGCCACAAAAGUUGUGUAGAAAGGAUCAGGACCGGAGAAAGGCUGACGGAAUAAGGUAUGGUGGACUCGCAUGGCAUGAGAAAACACAAAAUAUGAACGGAUUUGGUGGACGCAGCGGAAAAAAAAAACUAAGAAAGCACAUAGCAGACUAUGGAACGGCAACUGACAGGAGCAUCACAUAGCAGCAGGAAGCAGCAUCACGUAGCAACAGUAAGCAGCUAGUAGCAGCAUACAACCAUGCGUUGUAGCUGCAGAACGCAAGCAUUGGGCAGAGGUAGCAGCAGAAAUACAUGCUGGAAGAAGGCAGCCUUGUGCACGAUCGUGGCAAAAGGGACAGAUGGGCACAGGCGUAAGGCAGCAGCGCUUUGGUGGAACGACGAGAAGCAGCCACGGGCAUUACCUGUGUCCAUCCAGAUCAAUCUUGUUCGGCUGGAGCAGCAGCCUUCAUGCGCAGCCGAGUGCUGGCCUGAGCGAAGAGCAAGGAGGCUGACAAGAUGGCUCGGUGUCGCUCGAUCUGGAGCAGCACCGGACCUGAUGAGGGGCCGCCUCGAUCUGGAGCAGCACCGGAUCUGCGUCCACGUCUGGGGCCGCCUCGAUCUGGGCUGACUGGGGCGGCGACAGGAUCCAAGUCGUGAGGCGGCGCGACCGGAUUUGAUGAGGGGGCGGUGGCGGCUGGAUCCGAGGCAGGAGACCGGCGCGACCUGUGGCGGCGGGUCCUGGACCAGCGACGGGAGACGAGGCAGCGCGAGACGGCGAGGCAGGGAGGAGCCGACGCGGCCGGGGUGAGGGAGCACGACGGGGAGGACUGCGACGGGAGAGCAGCCAGAUCCAACCACGCAAGAAAAGCAGCGGCGACGCGCGAGAUUGGAUCGGGAGGGCGAGUUGCGGCGCCCGAAAAAAAUAACCUAAGCUCUAAUACCAUGUUAGGAAAGCAACUUAUCUGUAUUGAAGGCCCAAGGUGCAUAUAUAUUACACAUGACUUGAGGUGUAAGGAAAGUAAACAUAGACUAAUAAGGACUCCUAGACUAAUACUAAUAGACUAAUAAGGACUCCUAGACUAAUACUAAUACUUCCUAACAGAUUGCAGCCUAGGGCCGACCGGAUCUGCAUGUGACCCUGCACCAAGCGUGCGGUCCACCGUGUCUGUACCUAUCCAGCAU